rnacentral:lncRNA from 1 species
CACAGGUUGAUGAAAGGCCAUCUCCUGGUUAUUUCAAAAGCCAACAAUUCGGCACCAAGGAGGGGCAUGAGGACUUUUUGACUGUUGCUCCAGGCCGCUUGAACGUCUACCCCAAAGAUUUUCCUGAAUUCAAGUAUGCUUCUCAGUACUCAAACUUGUUGCCUGCAAAUAUAUAUAUAUAUAUAUAGAUCACAAGUUUUUCAAGAACAAUGGAAAGUUUCUUUCUUAACUAGACCGCGUUUGUGCUGUGCUUUAUGAUGGUAACUGCGUUGUUAAUAUGUUUUUAUUCUCGUCAUUUCUUAGGCAAGUAUUGGAGGAGAUUUUUCCCUACCUCGUGAAAUUAGCCUCCGCAAUAGAGGAAAUUAUCAAUUCGGCUUCGGGCCUCCCUCCUAAUUUCCUCAAGGAGUACAACGAUGAUAGGAAUAGUGACUUUUUACUAGGCUUGCAUUACCCUG